UGCGACUGGAUGCAGAUAUUUGUGCUUUUUCUCUUUUGUUCUUUUUAGUUGGGGUGGGGUUGGGGGCUCUAUGGUGGGCUUCAAUCUUCGAGAACCUUUUCUGACGUUAGCUAAGCUGCUUCCCUUGUCCUUGUUGGCCUUCUCAUUCUUUAUGGCCUAUAUAAUAUUAUAUUCUUUUGUUCAUAUUAAAUGAGCUCCUAUUUUACUCAACUAAUAUCACAUAUUCCUCUUCCUUUCUGUCAUUCCAUUCUAGGAAUUAUUAGAUUAGAGAGUAAGCCAAUAAUGCUCGCUAAAAAUCUGAUUAUGUUUUCGAAUGUUAAUGGAUUCAUUGGACCAAGUCAAACUGAUACUUUUUACCAAUUAAGACUUAUAGUCCAAUGUUAAGACUCCAAAGCCUAGGGGGUUGUGUGGAAAUAUUCAAGUGAUAUUACAUCUAUGUCAUAUUAUGUCAACUUGAACUUUAAGAAAUGAUAACUAAUGGUGUUUGAUAGUAAAAGACAUGAUAACAAAGGUCUAGCCCUGAUCUUGGUGUCUCACGGUAUAUAUUUAUUUGGAUACAUGAUAUUUAAGUUUAGUAAUUCCUUUACCUUAAAAGCUCUGUCUACCUACUAUAUGGCCAAUUUGAGCCGCACUCUAUGGCAUUGUCUUCCCACCGUUCACUAUGCAUUUACUCCGUUCGGAGAUUCCAAAGGAUCAUUUAAAAAAAAGUAGAAGUGAGUUGCAAGCGCAUAAAACAUAUUAACAAUUUUAACGAUAGUUUUCCCGGUUGGUCACUCUUAAUUACAAUAUCUUUUUUAUAAGUAGAAUAUGCUCUCAGUGAGACUUGACAAAUAAGAUCAUAUGUUUGAGAGACGAUUGUUCAUACAUCAAUAAAAUUUAAGAAGUGUGGUAAUUAGUUGAGAAGAAAUUAAGUGAUCCUUUCCAAAUUGUUUGGAUCAAGGAGUGAAUCAAAAGCUGGGUCUAUAUUGGAUCUUCAUCUGAUUCCCUCAUAUAUUUUCCUCAGGUAAAACGUGCUCAACCCUUGGCUUGACCGGGAGGGGUUAGCCUAGAUUUUAUGCCUCUGAAUUAUGAAUCUUUUACGUGGUUCCACUUGAGGAACUUGUAGUAGCACAACGUGCAUUAUAUUCAGUUAAUUUCUGCUAAAUUUGUUGAAGAAAAUGAUGUGGUCUUGUUCAACAUCGAAAACGUAUCAAGUAAAAUGGAUCUCCUAGUUAAAAAUUUCAUCAUGUACUUAGCUACAUCUAGCAACCAUCCUCGAAAAUUCUAAAGUUUCAACUCCGCAUAUUGUAUGGUUUUAGGUUCUUAGUAGUAAAUGACAACAUUUUGUAUUAUAUUUUGCAUAGCUUUUCGCCUCCUUGACGGCUAGAAGUUCUCCAAAAGUAGGAAAUGGAUAGGAUAAAAUUUCUUGAACUUACUGUAUGAUUUAUGUCAUCUUUCUUUCUUCCCCAAGAAAAUGCUACUAGUGAAACAGUGCAGUCAAGUCAAUAGUAGCCACAACAAGAUAUUGAUAGAUAAUAAUUGUUCGUAUUUCUUGUGCCAAACCUCUAGUAUUCGACGUACCUUUUUAAUAGAAAAAAGGUGGGAUUAGGCACAAGCUAAGUUUUGCAUUUUCGUCUUUGAGAGAAUUAAUAGUCAUAAUGAGCAAAGACAAGGAGUUGAUCAAGGUGGUUAGACCCAUACUUUUAAAAGCUCCUAUCAUAAAAAUGUAUGGUUCCAUUUACGUUGUAUGUUGUUUCUACUCUGAUUAAAUUUAGGUGACGGUUACAUCUACAAAAUUUGUCAUCACCAAAGCAGAGAUAGUACUAAAAACAAGUACAUAAUUUGCUCAAGGAGUGGUACUCCUUUAAACAUUAAUCCUUGUAUGGGUUCCACAAGAAUAGUUUAUCUAGUAACACGAUGUUUCUACAUAAUUUCGUAAAGGGAACCAUUCUAUGGUCGUUAACAUAACCUUUCAAGUAAGCUUACAACAAAGUUAAACCUCCUUCAAAUAUGUUCAAUCAAAACUUUUCUAGUAUUAGUCACAAAAUUUGCUCAAAGGGUGUCAUGUGUUGACUAUUUUUAAUGGGAUUUAGUCAAACCUCGCUAGUAUUUUCUUCCACGUGUAUUAACCGUAUUAGGUGUAUUGGAAAAAUGCUCUUUGAAGUUCUUUAAACAAGUUAAGGUUACCCCAAGAUUUAUAGUUAAAUGAUCUUGUAAUCCCUUAUCCUUCAUUCUUAUUUCAUUUUGCUCAGUAGUCUUAAUAUCUUAUAUUUACAUCUUGUGGUGUCGCAUUAAGGAUUAGAUCAUUACUAUUUGUUUUUUUACUUUGUAGAUUUUAUUGGAAAGAUAUAAUUGUCAACAAAUAUUUUGUUAAAUUACAGUCUCACAACAAAUUUAAUAUUAUAUUAUGUGGACGUGCUAUUUGUUUUGGCUUCUAAACAAAUGGAUUAGGAGUUUGGUUUUUAAUGAAGCCGUAUAUUUCGAAUUCAACAAUUUAUUGAGUGAAGAAUCUAGAUGUAGGAAAUACGAAAAAACAAACGUAAUAGGAUAUUAAAAAGGACAUAUUGUGCCUUAGGCCUCAUUUGUUUGCAUAUAAUGGAGGUCUAAGUCUAAAUUAUUUGGAUCUCAGUUCAUUUGGUGCAUUUGCUUUUCUUUUUAGAAAACAUCUUAAUAGAUUUGAAUGGAUCAGAUUAGGUCUAUAACAAAGUCUUAACAUCAUUCAGACCUCAAAAAUACACGUUUCUUCUCUCUUAGAAUCAUGUUGGUCUUUUCUCUCUGAAAAAAAUAAUAAUUCACAACACUCUCUCUUAGACAUGCUUUCUUCAAAUAUUCUCGCCCUACUCUUGAUUUG